CAAGAGUCAGUGUGGUCAUGUCUGCUGUAGAGAGGAGCGUCCAUCUUGCCGCAAGACUGAGUGGCUCAGCAACGAUCAGACUCCAGCAACUCACAUUUGGGUUCUCUAAGCAGAACAAAUGAUUCGUGUGCUUAGCUGCGCUCUGACUGUGGUCCAUUCUGGAAUUAUGAGACUGCUGCUCAGACAAAGUAAGAAGACAGCUGGAUCUUGGGUUAUAGAGGAGAGUACUAACUGUCUAAUUCUGUUUACUCAAUGCAAGAAAGAGAAGGAGUCUACAGACAGACACUUACUCAGAUGCUGGAUGAUGUGGUCGAUAGUGGGCUUGAACAGAGCGUUCAUGGCAUCUGGGUUCAUCCUCAACAUGCCCUGAGAUGACCACUUUACAAAGUCCACACUGUACACACACACAGAAACACAGAGAAAAAGAUUUACUAUCAUUCAUGUCAAUAAUCAUUAUUGUGCUUAGUUUCUUAGGCACUAGUGAACAGAAACAUAAUACUGGUAAUGCAAACCCUCAGAUAUCUAGUAGUAGGCAGGACUUGUACACAGUCCAGAGAACUAAGCUUCCCCACUCAGAAGGCUGCAUUAAGAGAGUCAAGAUACUGAUCUGACUGCAUGUACCCUUCUUGGGGCCAGUGGAUUUGCAUGAAACUUGUACACAAUACUGUCCCGGUUAUGACUGUAAUUGAACUGCCUGUCUGUGAGUUAAACGUUCUUUCCUGUUUAGAUUAAUAUUCAGAUUUGUGCUUGUAUGGUUAGAUUUAGAUAGCAACAUAACACAACUAGCUCGCUAACUGCGAGGUUGUCUUUUUCUACAAUAUCUCAAACUGUAUAGUUUAUUUUUGGACAUGCUGAUUUCUAGUGUUCUGUCCUUUUUCCAUUUACUGCUCCUUUAGGUCACAUUUUAAACUUUCAUUAUUCUUGUACUGAAAGCCAUUAGCCUCAACCUCCUUCGUUAAUGGUUUAAAACAAAAGGGCAAAAACCCAAACAGCUUAAAGUAAACCACUUAACUGGGCAACACAGUGAUGGAAUUGGCAGAGUCUGCGUUAUCUUUAAACGGCUGAGCAGAGCUGCUUUAUACACAGCAGGCCAUGACACAGCUGACUGUAUCAAUAAUGAUGAUGCAUUUGACAAACUCAUUUGCUAUGCAGACCACAAGUCAGCAAGAGAGGACAGCUGUGUUCACACACUUUGUGCAAAUCAUCUGUAAUGAAGCAAUUUUGGAAGUGUGGACACUUUAGCCAGACCACUGAGGUAGGAAACAAGAAAUAAAUUCCUCAUUUAAUCCCAUUUUCAUGAUAAAAAGUUUUAUAUGGCUUUCACAGCAGUUUUCCUUAAAGCACUAUUGAAUGAUUAUUGCAAUCAAACGACUAACUUAAAAUGGUGGAGUUCGAAUUAUUUGUUCAUCUAUCCAUACCUGUCUACCUAUCUAUAGCCUACACUGAUGCCUAGAUGCAUUGCUGCCACACACACACACACACACACACACACACACACACUCCGUGUAUCUCAGACCAACUAUGCCAAAGUGGUUUGAAUGAUCAGAUCACAAGACACGCUUGACCUCGUUCACACCUAUACUUAAUGCUGCGCACUCGAUCACCUGACACAGAUGUUAAUUAACUUAGUUUGAACAGCACCAAAGAGACCUGACCCUGUGACUC